rnacentral:ncRNA from 1 species
GAAUCAGCGGGGAAAGAAGGCCCUGUUGAGCUUGACUCUAGUCCGACUUUGUGGAGCAACUUGGGGGGUGUAGCAUAGGUGAGAGCUUCGGCGAUCGUGAAAUACCAAUACCCUCAGUUUCGUUUAUUCCGCACAUACCGUGCAUGCAUUUCAACUUGACUGAUUCCGUCAAGUUGAGACGCAUGCACGGUAUGUGGUUUUGUCAUAAGGUGCCUCUCGGAUUGCUGAUCAAUGCGGAAGACAGAGUCAGGUGGGAAGUUUGACUGGGGCGGCACAUCUGGAAAAUAAUAGCAUAGGUGUAGUAAGACAAGCUCAAUGAGAACAAAAAUAACUUAAUGACCAAAACGGGAAACGUUUGCUGGUUUUGAUUUCCAGUACGAACCCAAACUGUGAAAGUAUGACCUGUAGAUCCUUUACGUCUGAGUAACCUUCAGCUAGAGGUGUCAGAAACGUCGCCUCAGGCAUAACUGGCUUGCGGCAGCCAAGCUUUCAUAGCGACGUUGGUUUUUGAUCCUUCAAUGUCUGCUCUUCGUAUCACUGCGACGGAGAAGUCUCAAAGUGUCGGAUUGUUUACCCGCCUAUAGGGAACCUGAGCUGGGUUUAGACCGUCGUGAGACAGGUUAGUUUUAUCCUACUGAUAAAUGUGAUACUGCGAUAGUAGUCAAACUGAGUACGAGACGAACAGGUGGGUCAUAUACUUGGUUAAUGCGGAUAGCUGAAAUGCUAGUGCUGCGACGCUACGAUAUGUUGGAUUUUGACUGGACACCUCUAAGCCAGAAUCCAUGCUGGCUAAGCAGUGUUUCUCGUUGCCUCACUUGUUACUCGCAUGUCUUUUUAGUGCCUCGACCAUAAUAUCUUGUUACGGCCCUUCGCGUUACGCGCCGGGCGACAAUAGCAAUUGCCCACGAUUGGGGCGGUACAGCCACUGCAUACGGCUUUGGCGCAACCAGGUAUUGUAAACGUGAGAGUAGGCUCGUCUUACCAUCCACUAGGGUUCAGCAUGCGUUGCAUGGCAUA